AAUAUUGCACAAGGGAGGAAACUCUGAUGCAGCGAGGCCGCGCGAUUGAAGAAUGUCAUCGGAUCGUCCAACUCUGUUCUUGGUGAAGAUAAUGACGGUAGCCAAGGAGGCAGCCCCGGCUAACUACGAGCCAGCAGCUGCGGUAAUACGUAGGGGGCGAGCGUUGUCCGGAUUUACUGGGCGUAAAGGGUGAGUAGGCGGUUGCAUAUGUCAGAUGUAAAAGGCACAGGCUUAACUUGUGUUAGCAUUUGAAACUGUGCGACUUGAGUGCAGGAGAGGUAAGUGGAAUUCCUAGUGUAGCGGUGAAAUGCGUAGAUAUUAGGAGGAACACCAGUGGCGAAGGCGACUUACUGGACUGUAACUGACGCUGAGUCACGAAAGCGUGGGUAGCAAACAGG
rnacentral:rRNA from 1 species